rnacentral:rRNA from 1 species
GACACGACCGUACCGCAAACCGACACUGGUGCGCGAGAUGAGUAUUCUAAGGCGCUUGAGAGAACUCAGGAGAAGGAACUCGGCAAAUUGACACCGUAACUUCGGAAGAAGGUGUGCCUUUAGUAGGUGAACCUGUACAAGGGGAGCCCAAUGAGGUUGCAAAAAAUCGGUGGCUGCGACUGUUUAAUAAAAACACAGCACUCUGCAAACACGAAAGUGGACGUAUAGGGUGUGACGCCUGCCCGGUGCUGGAAGAUUAAAUGAUGGGGUGCAAGCUCUUGAUUGAAGUCCCAGUAAACGGCGGCCGUAACAAUAACGGUCCUAAGGUAGCGAAAUUCCUUGUCGGGUAAGUUCCGACCUGCACGAAUGGCGUAACGAUGGCCACACUGUCUCCUCCUGAGACUCAGCGAAGUUGAAAUGUUUGUGAUGAUGCAAUCUCCCCGCGGAAAGACGGAAAGACCCCAUGAACCUUUACUGUAGCUUUGUAUUGGACUUUGAACAGAUCUGUGUAGGAUAGGUGGGAGGCUUUGAAGUGUGGUCGCUAGAUCGCAUGGAGCCAACGUUGAAAUACCACCCUGGUGUGUUUGAGGUUCUAACCUAGGCCCGUAAUCCGGGUCGGGGACAGUGCAUGGUAGGCAGUUUGACUGGGGCGGUCUCCUCCCAAAGCGUAACGGAGGAGUUCGAAGGUACGCUAGGUACGGUCGGACAUCGUGCUAAUAGUGCAAUGGCAUAAGCGUGCUUAACUGCGAGACUGACAAGUCGAGCAGAUGCGAAAGCAGGACAUAGUGAUCCGGUGGUUCUGUAUGGAAGGGCCAUCGCUCAACGGAUAAAAGGUACUCUGGGGAUAACAGGCUGAUACCGCCCAAGAGUUCAUAUCGACGGCGGUGUUUGGCACCUCGAUGUCGGCUCAUCUCAUCCUGGGGCUGUAGCCGGUCCCAAGGGUAUGGCUGUUCGCCAUUUAAAGAGGUACGUGAGCUGGGUUUAAAACGUCGUGAGACAGUUUGGUCCCUAUCUUCCGUGGGCGCUGCAGAUUUGAGGAAGCCUGCUCCUAGUACGAGAGGACCGGAGUGGACACACCUCUGGUGUAUCGGUUGUCACGCCAGUGGCAUUGCCGAGUAGCUAUGUGUGGAAGAGAUAACCGCUGAAAGCAUCUAAGCGGGAAACUCGUUUCAAGAUGAGAUCUGCCGGGGCAUUGAGCCCCCUAAAGAGUCGUUCAAGACCAGGACGUUGAUAGGUCGGGUGUGGAAGCGCAGUAAUGCGUUAAGCUAACCGAUACUAAUUGCUCGUGCGGCUUGACC